UAAGCGAUUUUUAAUUAAGAAAACAACCCUUAAUCGUGAAAGUGCGUCGUAGGGGUGCAGCGGUUUUCCCCGUGGGAAACCGCAAUUAAUAAACGUCCGGAACGUCCCUUGCGGCCUUAUGCCAAUAAUUAACCACAGUUUUAAUCAACCUCAUUCACCUCCCUGUUUUUUCUUGCAAAUAGCCACUGGGGUAGUCAACAAGUGACAGACAGUCUCCAGCUUGACUUUCUAUUUUCAAAUAUUAUUAAUCUCAAUUUUUAUUAUGUAUUAUUAUUAUUAUAGGCCUUCCGCCAACUAAUUCAGACAGAUGUCAUUAAGUUACGAGGGUUCUAGAAAUAAUAAUGACUAAUUAUAAUAAUAAAAUUGGAAUAACGGAACAUUAGAAAGUUCGGCGCGUCAUGACGCUUCCUCCCCUCCCAAGCCGGCACAAAGCGGCAGUAGAGUUUUACUCACGGGUCGGGUUGGACGUGUGAUCCCGCGGGGAGACUUCAACUUUUGUACUCCUGAUUAUUCAUACUGCUGAAACUGUUUGAAAGGUGAGAGCAGAAGAUCCCAUGUGAGUGCGGAGUCCCAACUCGCCCUUUGCAAGAACCUCCACAACUUCUUCCUGCACGCCAGUGUCUGGACCGCACGACCCUGGAAGAUGUGAGCAGAUGUGCACGACGCCAGACGUGAGACAGCACGGCUCUCAUCUCCGCGCGCACGUUGGGUUCGGAGUACAGUACAGCAGCAAGCUUGACAUGGACUGAGGAGCCGUCUACUGGGUGGUGCGGAACUGGUUCCUGAGCGGCCCCUCGUCUGCGUAGCCGGCGAUCUCCUGCGGCACGAUGGCGCCGUCCUCCAGCGAGCUGCACGGCCGACACAUGCACUCGAUGGGAGCCUUCGUCAUCACCUGCGCAGCGCAACACGGCCGGUGCAGUCCUGGUUCCACCAGCCGCGUGUGUGUUGUAUUUAUAUAGACGGGAGGGAGAGAGACAUACGAGCAACAGCCAAAACACACGGAAUAUUUUUACAAUUGGGAAGCACUGUUUUAAUAAAACGUUUUUUCUUAACAGAA